rnacentral:lncRNA from 1 species
UGGGGAGGCGACUCCGGAGAUGAGUCAAGCGAAGGAGAAGAAGACGAAGCAGCAAAUCUUUGCCUUAUGGCACAAGAAGACAACAAAGAUGAGGUGUGUCAAAUUUCGUCUAAAAACUUCUUUACUCUUGAAGACAUGCAAACUGCUUUUGAUGAAUUAUAUGCUGAGUUUAUUAAGGCUUCAAAAAUUGAUAAGGGCAUAAAAGAAAAUGCUUCAUUAAAAGAAAAG